rnacentral:rRNA from 1 species
GAUGAACGCUGGCGGCGUGCCUAAUACAUGCAAGUCGAGCGAACGGACGAGAAGCUUGCUUCUCUGAUGUUAGCGGCGGACGGGUGAGUAACACGUGGAUAACCUACCUAUAAGACUGGGAUAACUUCGGGAAACCGGAGCUAAUACCGGAUGAUAUUUUGAACCGCAUGGUUCAAAAGUGAAAGACGGUCUUGCUGUCACUUAUAGAUGGAUCCGCGCUGCAUUAGCUAGUUGGUAAGGUAACGGAUUACCAAGGCAACGAUGCAUAGCCGACCUGAGAGGGUGAUCGGCCACUCUGGAACUGAGACACGGUCCAGACUCCUACGGGAGGCAGCAGUAGGGAAUCUUCCGCAAUGGGCGAAAGCCUGACGGAGCAACGCCGCGUGAGUGAUGAAGGUCUUCGGAUCGUAAAACUCUGUUAUUAGGGAAGAACAUAUGUGUAAGUAACUGUGCACAUCUUGACGGUACCUAUCAGAAAGCCACGGCUAACUACGUG